AACGAACGCUGGCGGCAGGCCUAACACAUGCAAGUCGAACGCCCUAGCAACAGGGAGUGGCAGACGGGUGAGUAACACGUGGGAACGUGUCCUUCGGUUCGGAAUAACUCAGGGAAACUUGAGCUAAUACCGGAUAAGUGCGAGAGCAGAAAGAUUUAUCGCCGAAGGAUCGGCCCGCGUCCGAUUAGCUAGUUGGUGAGGUAAUGGCUCACCAAGGCGACGAUCGGUAGCUGGUCUGAGAGGAUGACCAGCCACACUGGGACUGAGCCACGGCCCAGACUCCUGCGGGAGGCAGCAGUGUGGGAUAUUGGACAAUGGGCGCAAGCCUGAUCCAGCCGUGCCGCGUGGGUGAUGAAGGCCCUAGGGUUGUAAAGCUCUUUCGCCAGGGACGAUAAUGACGGUACCUGGAUAAGAAGCCCCGGCUAACUUCGUGCCAGCCGCCGCAGAA
rnacentral:rRNA from 1 species